rnacentral:lncRNA from 1 species
CUUCUCUGUUUGCAGUUCCUAAUGAACAGGAUUCACAUUUAAAUCACAUGAUAGUAAAUCUGGAUUCAGUUUGAGAGUGCAAGGCUUGAUCAGAUGCAGCAAAUGCAGCAUUCCAGAAAUCUCUGGCUCUUCUUCAUAUGAUAAAAUAUAUAUAUCCAUUAACACCUUUCUUUGUUUCUUUGUUGACGCAGGUUCUGCCUGGCAUACUGCAGAAGCAUUGCUGUAUUUUACCUGACAGGAACACAGUCAGAUAUGACUCUAAAUAAAAUACCUGCUCUGAAAGCAAAGAAAAUUGGGAACUAGAAAACAAGUCAACCUUUCAACUGAGCAACAAACUACAGUCAUCUGCUUGAAGACAGAUUUUAACCCCAGUCUUGAACCACAUUCAUCUGUAUUUUGACAUGCUCUUGGAACAGAAUGGACAAGGAACAUCAAAUAUGGCUUCUGAAAGAGCUUUUAUGCUGGAGGACUUGUGCAAUCCUCCUGUCUGGGACCUGAGGAUCCCAGACUUGUCAUUGUCAUAGCUCCUGACAGCUGGACUAGUAAUUUCACAGAACUAAAACAGAGUUAAAAGAUUUUUCUUGUUAUUUUUUCCCUUUAACUCAGAACCACUGAAUUACCACUUUUUAAUGAUAUUUUAAAGCAGUGGCUUAAGUGCUUCCUUUUUUAUUUUUAAUAUAUAUGUGUGUAUAUAUAUAUAUAUAAAUUUAAACAUUGCUUUCAUGGCAAAUUCUAACUUCAAAAAAGUCAGUCUGGAAUCUGAUAUGCAUUUUUCAGUCAGAGUAAAAUAGGAGUAGAAUUUCAGGCUUAAAGACAUAAAAAUAUCAGUAAUUCUGUUGAUUAUGAACCCAGAAUAUCUAUUGCAAUUUCCUUGCUUGAUCUUUUAUAUAACACAGUUCAUGUGAUUUCCUUUAAAUAAUACUUAUUUGAAAUGGACCCGAUCUUUUAGAUAGAAAAAGAUCUGAUUAUGAUUUUAAAAACAGAGUCGUUUUUAUAAGAACUGCCCCUUUAUCACUGUGUUCCUGAUGAGCAACUGAGUGACAUAUUUAACAGCAGUUUACUUUAGUGCCAUUUCAAACCCGCAGUAAAGCAUUUUGAUAAUCUUACUGCAAGAACAUAAAGAAUACUUAGUAUCUUUAAGGGAACUUAUAUUAAUUAAGAUUAAAUUAUUCCUUAUUUCCUAAUGUAGUAGUUCUGUAAUUUUCAGUCAGAUAGUUGUUAUUGUCUUUGUCUUUAUAUCUUUCUGUGUACUUGGAUUUCCUAACAAUGGCUUUGUUUGGCGUAAAAAACUUUUUAGAAAAACAGAGCAAGGAACAAAUCACUUAGAGAGUUCCUGAAAAUAAUGGCAAAUUUUAUACUGAAAAAUUUGGAAACAUUAAAUUUACCAUACAGUAUACAAUUGUAGGCAGAAGAGAGACUGCUGGAUUAUUCGUUGUUGGAUUUUUUUGUUCAUUUUUUCUACCACGUUAGAGAAUUGAUACUGUAUCCAGGACUUCAACGAAGCAACACAAAUAAAAAUUCAGUGUUUUCCAAAUAAAAUAGUCUUCAAUUGUUUUGCUCAGAAAGGACUUCUUCCACCUCCACAUUAAUAAGCAUUCUUCUGUGCUUCAACUAACUACCCACUCACUUCCUCUCUUUAAAGGAUCGUCUAUCCCAAUUACCACUGAGACUUUUCAGUCUCUCAUUAAAUUUGGAGCAGUAGGUAAUUUAAUCAGGUGGAGAUCAGUGUGAU